rnacentral:rRNA from 1 species
GACGAACGCUGGCGGCGUGCUUAACACAUGCAAGUCGAACGAAGUGGCGAACGGGUGAGUAACGCGUAAUCAACCUGCCCUUCAGAGGGGAACAACAGUUGGAAACGACUGCUAAUACCGCAUACUGAAGGAGGGGAUUGCGUGUGAUUAGCUAGUUGGAGGGGUAACGGCCCACCAAGGCGAUGCUCAGUCGACGGUCUGGGAUGAUGAACGGCCACAUUGGGACGGAGACACGGCCCCGACUCCGACGGGAGGCAGCAGGGGGGAAGCGUCCGCAAUGGACGAAAGUCUGACGGAGCAACGCCGCGUGAGUGAUGACGGCCUUCGGGUUGUAAAGCUCUGUUAAUCGGGACGCGGUACCGGAAUAGAAAGCCACGGCUAACUACGUGCCAGCAGCCGCGGUAAUUC